rnacentral:rRNA from 1 species
CGUGCCUACUACAUGCAAGUCGAGCGAAUGACGAGGAGCUUGCUCCUCUGAUUUAGCGGCGGACGGGUGAGUAACACGUGGGUAAUCUGCCUGUAAGACGGGGAUAACUCCGGGAAACCGGGGCUAAUACCGGAUAACAAGAGAAGAUGCAUAUCUUCUUUUUGAAAGUCGGUUUCGGCUGACACUUACAGAUGAGCCCGCGGCGCAUUAGCUAGUUGGUGAGGUAACGGCUCGCCAAGGCGACGAUGCGUAGCCGACCUGAGAGGGUGAUCGGCCACACUGGGACUGAGACACGGCCCAGACUCCUACGGGAGGCAGCAGUAGGGAAUCUUCGGCAAUGGGCGAAAGCCUGACCGAGCAACGCCGCGUGAGCGAUGAAGGCCUUCGGGUCGUAAAGCUCUGUUGUUAGAGAAGAACAAGUACGAGAGUAACUGCUCGUACCUUGACGGUACCUAACCAGAAAGCCACGGCUAACUACGUGCCAGCAGCCGCGGUAAUACGUAGGUGGCAAGCGUUAUCCGGAAUUAUUGGGCGUAAAGCGCGCGCAGGCGGUCUCUUAAGUCUGAUGUGAAAGCCCACGGCUCAACCGUGGAGGGUCAUUGGAAACUGGGAGACUUGAGUGCAGGAGAGAAAAGUGGAAUUCCACGUGUAGCGGUGAAAUGCGUAAAGAUGUGGAGGAACACCAGUGGCGAA